GAGUUAAACUUAAAACUUAAAAGACUUGACGGUGCUUCACCACGCCCUAGAGGAGCCUGUCCAAUAACCGACGACCCACGAUUAACCCAGCCCCCCCUUGCCUACAGUCUAUAUACCGCCGUCGCCAGCCUACCUUGUGAAAGAAAUAAAGUAGGCCAAACAGUACCCACACUAAAACGACAGGUCGAGGUGUAACUCAUGAGGCGGACCCAGAUGGGCUACACUCUCACGCCCGAGAAUACGGAAAACACUACGAAAUUAGUCUUUAAAGGUGGAUUUAGCAGUAAGCUGGAAAUAAAACACCCGACUGAACAUAACGCAAUGAAGUGCGUACACA
rnacentral:rRNA from 1 species